UUGGAGGUCAAACACCAAUGAAGCUGGCUCUUCCAACGCAGCAAUGCUUAGACGAGCAGAAGCCAAAAUGCAAAAGUGGAGCUGUUUAUGUUGGUAUUUGGGAAGGAGCGAUCCUCUCUCUCUCUCUCUCUACCGUUUGCCGUGACGUAUCAUCUUCAUGCUCCAGUAUUUGCGGAUACAGUCACCUAAUUUAGGUCGAUUUCCAAGUGUGAAGAAACAGUGACUCUGCAGGAAAAAAUCAUCUUCGACAUCAUACCCUCACGUCUCUUUCCUUCUGGUUUCCAGGUCCUCGGUCGUCUUAAUUGAUUAUUACACGUGAAAAUCAUAAUUUGCAGGUGCAGAUUAAGAAUAAAAAUGUCUUUGCUGUGACUCAGAAGUCGAUUCGUCAGUGGUGUUAGCAGCCCCUGUGAUGAUUAUCUUUUCUGAGAAGAACUAAGACGGAUUCUUGUUGCAAGAGAGAUGACUUUUAAACAAACAUGGGCUGAAGCUGUUGUUCUAUGUAAUGCAGGUCAAGCCGAACCUAACUCAACUAGCGUAUCUGGACUUUCGAGAGACUUAAAAGUAAAGACAGUUAGUCUUAAAAUGGAGGAAGAUAGUGACUGGAUCGAUGCCUUGUUUCAAACCGAUUGACAAUAAUGUCUUCCCAUUAAAUUAACUAGUAUUUCCGAGUUCAUUAUUAUUUAUUGUUUCAUACUGGUAGUAAAUUUUAGUAUCCAAUCGGGACUAAGGUAGAAUGUAUAUAGAAUGUGGUGAGAAUGGUAGCUGGAUUUGUCAUGCA